GAAAACCGACCGAGUUCGUUGUGAUCUCGCAAAACAACAAGUUGGGUUGUGAGCUUGUAAAACAACCGACUGUAAUCUGAGGGAUUAUAGUAAAAUUCUCAAGAGGUCUUGGGGAGUGGAUGUAGGUGCUGGGGUGCACUGAACCACUAUACAUCUUUGUGUUUGUGAUGCCUUAUCUCUUGUAUUUCAUGCCUUACAUUCAUGCUUGAUUGUGUAAUAUCUCUAGUUUUGUUUUCUAUAGAGUUAUAAGUGAUUGUUUAGAAUUUGCUUAGCUUCCACUCCAUUCUUACCAUAAACAUAGAUUAAAAUUGAUCAUACAACUAUAAGUUAAUUUUAGAUCAAUUGCACCCUAAAGCCAUAGUAUAAUUGCUCUAGCUUAAUUUUCCACUGCUUUACUUGUAAUUGCCUAGAGCUUAAGUAAAUAACAUCUUAUCAUUCCGCUGCAUUAUAUUCAAAGUAAAAAUUAGGAAACAUAAUUUUUAGAAAACCCAAUUCACCCCCCCUCUUGGGUUGUCACCUUGGGC
rnacentral:lncRNA from 1 species